rnacentral:rRNA from 1 species
GGAGGGUGCUAGCGUUGCUCGGAAUUACUGGGCGUAAAGCGCGCGUAGGUGGCCAAAGUAGUCUGGUGUGAAAGCCCUCGGGCUCAACCGAGGAAGUGCGCCAGAAACCAUUUGGCUCGAGGCUUGGAGGGGAGUGUGGAAUUCCCAGUGUAGAGGUGAAAUUCGUAGAUAUUGGGAGGAACACCGGUGGCGAAGGCGACACUCUGGACAAGUUCUGACACUGAGGCGCGACAGCGUGGGUAGCAAACAGGAUUAGAUACCCUGGUAGUCCACGCCGUAAACGAUGGAUACUAGGUGUUGGGAGAUUUGACCCUCUCAGUGCCGACGCUAACGCAUUAAGUAUCCCGCCUGGGAAGUACGGUCGCAAAGGCUGA